UACGGGGGGAGCAAGCGUUGUUCGGAUUUACUGGGCGUAAAGGGCGCGUAGGCGGCACCGCAAGUCGACUGUGAAAUCUCCGGGCUUAACUCGGAAAGGUCAGCCGAUACUGCGGGGCUAGAGUGCAGAAGGGGCAACUGGAAUUCCUGGUGUAGCGGUGAAAUGCGUAGAUAUCGGGAGGAACACCAGUGGCGAAGGCGGCUGCCUGGGCCAGUUCUGACGCUGAGGCGCGAAAGCGUGGGGAGCAAACAGG
rnacentral:rRNA from 1 species